GAAAGCUUAUACUUGACUUUGGAAAUGCCCGAUCCCAUCGGAUCAUCAAAUUUGAGCAACGUUGGACUUGAUUAGCGCUUGAAUGGGUGACCGGCUGGGAGUGCCGAGUGUUGCGUGAU
rfam:Schistosoma haematobium scaffold296_16, whole genome shotgun sequence.